UACAGGGGGUGCAAACGUUGCUCGGAAUCAUUGGGCGUAAAGCGCACGUAGGCGGUUCGUUAUGUCGGAUGUGAAGCCCUUGGCUUAACCGAGGAAGUGCAUCCGAAACUGGCGAGCUAGAGUACUAAAGAGGAUCGCGGAAUUCCCGGUGUAGAGGUGAAAUUCGUAGAGAUCCGGAAGAACACCGGUGGCGAAGGCGGCGACCUGGUCCUUGACUGACGGCUGAGGCGCGAAAGCGUGGGGAGCAAACAGG
rnacentral:rRNA from 1 species